UAUGGCUCAGGAUGAACGCUAGCGGCAGGCUUAACACAUGCAAGUCGAGGGGCAUCGGGAGUAGCAAUACUGCCGGCGACCGGCGCAAGGGUGCGUAACGCGUGAGCAACAUGCCCGUAUCAGGGGGAUAAUCCAUGGAAACGUGGUCUAAUACCCCAUAGUAAUUAUGUAAGGCAUCUUAUAUAAUUUAAAGCUUUGGUGGAUACGGAUUGGCUCGCGUGACAUUAGCUGGAUGGUAAGGUAACGGCUUACCAUGGCUACGAUGUCUAGGGGUUCUGAGAGGAAGGUCCCCCACACUGGAACUGAGACACGGUCCAGACUCCUACGGGAGGCAGCAGUGAGGAAUAUUGGACAAUGGAUGGAAAUCUGAUCCAGCCAUGCCGCGUGCAAGGAAGACGGCCCUAUGGGUUGUAAACUGCUUUUGUAUGGGAGCAAUAAGGGCUACGUGUAGUCCGAUGAGAGUACCAUACGAAUAAGCACCGGCUAACUCCGUGCCAGCCGCUGC
rnacentral:rRNA from 1 species